CCUACGGGAGGCAGCAGUGGGGAAUAUUGCACAAUGGGGGAAACCCUGAUGCAGCGACGCCGCGUGAGUGAAGAAGUAUUUCGGUAUGUAAAGCUCUAUCAGCAGGGAAGAAAAUGACGGUACGUGAAGAAGAAGCCCCGGCUAACGACGGGCCAGCAGCCGCGGUAAGACGUAGGGGGCAAGCGUUAUCCGGAUUUACUGGGGGUAAAGGGAGCGUAGACGGCAGCACAAGUCUGGAGUGAAAUGCGGGGGCUUAACCCCGGAACUGCUUUUGACACUGGGCAGCUAGAGUGCAUGAGAGGUAAGUGGACUUCCUAUUGUAGCGGUGAAAUGCGUAGAUAUUAGGCGGAACCCCAGUGGCGACGGCGGCUUACUGGACUGUAACUGACGUUGAUGCUCG
rnacentral:rRNA from 1 species